AGGUGAAGGCAGCUGACCCACAUGGACUCUUUGACACAGCAACAGUGGAGGUCACUAUAAUCUACUGUAAUCAGAACAAUGUAGUGAAAAUUUUCCUCAACAUGCCAGUUGACAGCGUGCUGAACAACUCAAUGGAGAUGAAGAAGGCUCUUGAGAGGGCAUUAAGCUGGACUGUGAGGAUUAUCAGAAUCAGCGGUGAAAAGGCAUGGAGCUCUCCCCUGAGCAGAUCCUCCUCCCAUCAGACAUACGUCGACUUUAU